UACCAUGCAGUCGAGCGGUAAGGCCCUUCGGGGUACACGAGCGGCGAACGGGUGAGUAACACGUGGGUGAUCUGCCUCGCACUCUGGGAUAAGCCUGGGAAACUGGGUCUAAUACCGGAUAUGAGCAGCCUCUGCAUGGGGGUUGUUGGAAAGGUUUACUGGUGCGAGAUGGGCCCGCGGCCUAUCAGCUUGUUGGUGGGGUAAUGGCCUACCAAGGCGACGACGGGUAGCCGGCCUGAGAGGGCGACCGGCCACACUGGGACUGAGACACGGCCCAGACUCCUACGGGAGGCAGCAGUGGGGAAUAUUGCACAAUGGGCGAAAGCCUGAUGCAGCGACGCCGCGUGAGGGAUGACGGCCUUCGGGUUGUAAACCUCUUUCGAACAGGGACGAAGCGCAAGUGACGGUACCUGUAGAAGAAGCACCGGCCAACUACGUGCCAGCAGCCGCGGUAAUACGUAGGGUGCGAGCGUUGUCCGGAAUUACUGGGCGUAAAGAGCUUGUAGGCGGUCUGUCACGUCGAUUGUGAAAACUCGCGGCUCAACCGCGAGCCUGCAGUCGAUACGGGCAGACUAGAGUACUUCAGGGGAGACUGGAAUUCCUGGUGUAGCGGUGAAAUGCGCAGAUAUCAGGAGGAACACCGGUGGCGAAGGCGGGUCUCUGGGAAGUAACUGACGCUGAGAAGCGAAAGCGUGGGUAGCGAACAGGAUUAGAUACCCUGGUAGUCCACGCCGUAAACGGUGGGUACUAGGUGUGGGUUUCCUUCCACGGGAUCCGUGCCGUAGCUAACGCAUUAAGUACCCCGCCUGGGGAGUACGGCCGCAAGGCUAAAACUCAAAGGAAUUGACGGGGGCCCGCACAAGCGGCGGAGCAUGUGGAUUAAUUCGAUGCAACGCGAAGAACCUUACCUGGGUUUGACAUACACCGGAAAGCCAUAGAGAUAUGGCCCCCCUUGUGGUCGGUGUACAGGUGGUGCAUGGCUGUCGUCAGCUCGUGUCGUGAGAUGUUGGGUUAAGUCCCGCAACGAGCGCAACCCUUAUCUUAUGUUGCCAGCGCGUAAUGGCGGGGACUCGUGAGAGACUGCCGGGGUCAACUCGGAGGAAGGUGGGGACGACGUCAAGUCAUCAUGCCCCUUAUGUCCAGGGCUUCACACAUGCUACAAUGGCCGGUACAGAGGGCUGCGAUACCGUGAGGUGGAGCGAAUCCCUUAAAGCCGGUCUCAGUUCGGAUCGGGGUCUGCAACUCGACCCCGUGAAGUUGGAGUCGCUAGUAAUCGCAGAUCAGCAACGCUGCGGUGAAUACGUUCCCGGGCCUUGUACACACCGCCCGUCACGUCAUGAAAGUCGGUAACACCCGAAGCCAGUGGCCUAACCCUUGUGGAGGAGCUUCAAGUG
rnacentral:rRNA from 1 species